GGGUGAUGGUCCUGAGGGCCGCGUUACUGACUUCCAUCAGGAGCUGCCUGAGGGUCAGGCCACUUCUGAGGAGUUCCAGGCUCUGAUGGACUCCACCAUGGCGUCCUCUCUCCAGAGAGCGCUCGCCUCUGCUAUGGGGGCUAUGUCCUCCUCCUUUUCCCAGACUCUGGUGCAGUCUCUUUUGCUGCCCCAUGUGGCUAAUCCUGCCCUACUGGGUACGGACC